GAUGAACGCUGGCGGCGUGCUUAACACAUGCAAGUCGAACGAUGAAGCCCAGCUUGCUGGGUGGAUUAGUGGCGAACAGGUGAGUAACACGUGAGUAACCUGCCCUUAACUCUGGGAUAAGCCUGGGAAACUGGGUCUAAUACCGGAUAGGAGCGUCCACCGCAUGGUGGGUGUUGGAAAGAUUUAUCGGUUUUGGAUGGACUCGCGGCCUAUCAGCUUGUUGGUGAGGUAAUGGCUCACCAAGGCGACGACGGGUAGCCGGCCUGAGAGGGUGACCGGCCACACUGGGACUGAGACACGGCCCAGACUCCUACGGGAGGCAGCAGUGGGGAAUAUUGCACAAGGGGCGCAAGCCUGAUGCAGCGACGCCGCGUGAGGGAUGACGGCCUUCGGGUUGUAAACCUCUUUCAGUAGGGAAGAAGCGAAAGUGACGGUACCUGCAGAAGAAGCACCGGCUAACUACGU
rnacentral:rRNA from 1 species